GAUUAACGCUGGCGGCGUGCAUAACACAUGCAAGUCGAACGAUGAAACUUUAAUGAACCCUUCGGGGAGAAUUAAAGCGGAUUAGUGGCGAACGGGUGAGUAACGCGUGAGUAACCUGCCUUACACAAGGGGAUAGCCUUUGGAAACGAAGAAUAAUACCCUAUAAAACCAUAAAAGCACAUGCAAUUAUGGUCAAAGUGAUAGCGGUGUAAGAUGGACUUGCGUCUGAUUAGCUAGUUGGUGAGAUAAAAGCCCACCAAGGCAACGAUCAGUAGCCGGCUUGAGAGAGUGUACGGCCACAUUGGGACUGAGACACGGCCCAGACUCCUACGGAAGGCAGCAGUGGGGAAUUUUGCACAAUGGGGGAAACCCUGAUGCAGCGACGCCGCGUGAUUUAGAAGGCCUUCGGGUUGUAAAAAUCUUUUGUAUAGGAAGAAAAUGACAGUACUAUACGAAUAAGGGCCGGCUAAUUACGUG
rnacentral:rRNA from 1 species